rnacentral:rRNA from 1 species
GACGAACGCUGGCGGCGUGCCUAAUACAUGCAAGUCGAGCGGACUUUCAAGAAGCUUGCUUUUUGAAAGUUAGCGGCGGACGGGUGAGUAACACGUGGGCAACCUGCCUGCAAGACGGGGAUAACUCCGGGAAACCGGGGCUAAUACCGGAUAAUAUCUUCCUUCGCAUGAAGGAAGGUUGAAAGGCGGCGCAAGCUGCCGCUUGCAGAUGGGCCCGCGGCGCAUUAGCUAGUUGGUGAGGUAACGGCUCACCAAGGCGACGAUGCGUAGCCGACCUGAGAGGGUGAUCGGCCACACUGGGACUGAGACACGGCCCAGACUCCUACGGGAGGCAGCAGUAGGGAAUCUUCCGCAAUGGACGAAAGUCUGACGGAGCAACGCCGCGUGAGCGAAGAAGGUCUUCGGAUCGUAAAGAUCUGUUGUCAGGGAAGAACAAGUACCGUUCGAACAGGGCGGUACCUUGACGGUACCUGACCAGAAAGCCACGGCUAACUACGUG